UACGAAGGGGGCUAGCGUUGUUCGGAAUUACUGGGCGUAAAGCGCACGUAGGCGGAUAUUUAAGUCAGGGGUGAAAUCCCGAGGCUCAACCUCGGAACUGCCUUUGAUACUGGGUGUCUUGAGUGUGAGAGAGGUGAGUGGAACUCCGAGUGUAGAGGUGAAAUUCGUAGAUAUUCGGAAGAACACCAGUGGCGAAGGCGACUCACUGGCUCAUUACUGACGCUGAGGCUCGAAAGCGUGGGGAGCAAACAGG
rnacentral:rRNA from 1 species